AACGAACGCUGGCGGCGUGGAUAAGACAUGCAAGUCGCACGGAUUUCUGGUGUAGCAAUACAUCAGAGAGUUAGUGGCGCAAGGGUGCGUAACACGUGGGCAACCUGCCCUGAAGUUGGGGAUAGCCCGCCGAAAGGCGGAUUAAUACCGAAUGUGGCUACCGGAUUCUUUUCGGGACGCUAAAGCCGGGGUAACCUGGCGCUUCUGGAUGGGCCCGCGGCCUAUCAGCUAGNGGUGAGGUAACGGCUCACCAAGGCGAUGACGGGUAGCCGGCCUGAGAGGGCGACCGGCCACACUGGGACUGAGACACGGGCCCCGACUCCUACGGGAGGCGAGCAG
rnacentral:rRNA from 1 species